CAAAAUCCACACCCCCCUCCGUCUUCCCCCUGGUUCCCUGCUGCACCCAGACUGGCAGUGCUCCCCCGGACACAAGCUUGGCCUGCCUCGUAACUGGCUAUUUACCAUCACCAGUGGACAUCACGUGGAAUUCUGGCAAAGUGACCCAGGGGGUCAAGAAUUUCCCAGAGGUGACGAUGAGCGACGGGCUCCACACCCGGAGCAGCCUGCUGAUCCUCCCUGACAGGUCCCGGCAGGGCGACACCUACCAGUGCGAUGUGACACCUCAAGGCACAGCAAAGACAGUGUCGAAGAAGUUCCCUCAGGAAUCGUGUGGGUCGACAACGCCCCCCCAGGUUCACCUGCUGGCCCCCACCUGCGAGGACAGCUCCACAGAGAGCCAGCUGGAGCUGGUUUGCCUCCUCUUGAGCUUCAAACCCGGCGAAGCCGACGUGAAAUGGCUGGUGAAUGGAAAGGAGAGCAGCCCCCCCACCCCGGCCUUUUCCUCUGCAAUGGGCACAGACGGCUUCUACAUGGGGCAGAGCCGCAUGAACGUCACCAAGCAGAGCUGGGAGAAGGGCGACGUCUACACCUGUCAAGUGACCCACCCAGCAGUGGGAACAGAGCUCUCCAUGCACAACACCAGCAAGUGCUUGGCCUGCCUCAGAAGCUCACUUGACCCAACCAUCUAUUUAACCAAACCCUCCUAUGAAGACAUCAUCAAAAGUUCUGGUCAUGUUACCUGUCUAUUUCUGGGUUAUGACUUAGCAGCCAGCAGAAUCACAUGGAAAGUGGAUGGGCAAGUCAGCUCUGCGGCGAAGACAGAACCCCUCAAGACGAACAGCAACGGGACCACCAGCCUGGUCAGUUCUCACCCUGUGUCGCUGGCACAAUGGGGACAAGGCACCAAAUUCACCUGUAAAGUGACCACACCCUGUUCUGGAGAGCUAACCCAGGACAUAACCAUGAGCAAUACAG